rnacentral:rRNA from 1 species
UACGUAGGGUGCAAGCGUUAAUCGGAAUUACUGGGCGUAAAGCGUGCGCAGGCGGUUGGGCAAGACCGAUGUGAAAUCCCCGGGCUUAACCUGGGAACUGCAUUGGUGACUGGCAGGCUUUGAGUGUGGCAGAGGGAGGUAGAAUUCCACGUGUAGCAGUGAAAUGCGUAGAGAUGUGGAGGAAUACCGAUGGCGAAGGCAGCCUCCUGGGCCAACACUGACGCUCAUGCACGAAAGCGUGGGGAGCAAACAGG